rnacentral:tRNA from 1 species
GCAGGUGUAAUCUAGUGGUAGGAUGUCAGCCUUCCAAGCUGACCGCCCGGGUUCGAAACGGCGGAUCGCGACUCCCGGCACCUGCA